CCGUCUAUAUCUCCGGUUUAUAGGAAAAGAAAACACGGUCUCUCUUUCGCUCCCUCAAAACCUCUCUCUCUCUCUUUCCUCCGUCGCCGACACCGUCGUCUCUUGAGGUCUCUUUCAAUUCCUAAAUGUCGAGGGCGGGGCAAGUGAUUAAGCGUGCCAAAUACAAGACUUCGAUCAAAGACCCAGGAACUCCCGGUCUUCUCACCAUGUUGGAGCACAGGUUUGUGUUCAGGCCUAGUGAUCCCACCUCUCCCGCAAAGCUUGAUGUCCCCUUCCAACUACUUAAAGGUCAGAAGAACACUAGAGAGGGAUCAAAUAAACCCCCUUGGCUUAAUAUCACCAACAAUAAGGAUGGGAGUUACAUUUUUGAGUUUGAGUCUUAUCCUGAUCUUCACGCUUGUCGAGAAAUUAUCGCCAAUGCCCUAGAGGCUGCAAAAGGUUCUUCUGCUCCGACAAUAACUUCUGCAGCCAAUGCCUCUUCGUCUGCAAAUGAACAAUUUAGUACGGCAGAGUUGGAGCUCCGAAUGAAGCUUAUGCAAGAAGACAGUGAACUGCAGAAACUUCACAAGCAGUUUGUGGGUAGUGGUGUCUUGACAGAAUCUGAGUUCUGGGCAACUAGGAAGAGGUUGCUUGAUGGAGAUAGCCGUAGAAAGUCAAAACAACGGGUUGGUUUUAAAAGUUCGAUGAUACUGGACAUCAAACCUAUGACUGAUGGUCGGAUGAACAAGGUUACAUUCAAUUUGACUGAUGAGAUUAAAUAUCAGAUAUUCGCCCUUAAACCAGCUGUGCACCAGGCAUUUAUUAAUCUCGUUCCCAGUAAGAUGACAGAGAAAGACUUCUGGAACAAAUAUUUCCGAGCUGAAUACCUCCAUAGUACAAAAAAUGCUGUAGCAGCUGCUGCUGAAGCUGCUGAGGAUGAGGAACUGGCCAUUUUCCUAAAGGAAGAUGAAAUAUUGGCAAGGGAAGCUCGGCAGAAGAUUCAGCGUGUUGAUCCAACUUUGGAUAUGGAAGCUGAUCAAGGGGAUGACUACACACAUAUUCCAGAUCAUGGGAUAUUUCGUGAUGGCAACAAGGACAUGACUGAACAACAGAAUGAGCAAUACAGGAGGACUCUAUCACAAGACCUUAACAGACAAGGCGCUGUUGUUCUUCAAGGAAGAAAUCUAGAUGCGGACCCAGAAGAUCCCAGAAGUAUAGCAGAGGCACUUAUGCUGUCAAGAGAGGAUCCUAGUGACAGUGCUGCACAGAAGAGACUUGAUAGGAUUACUCGGAUGACUGAGAUAGAUGACCUUCGUGAAUCUCAUGAUCAUCCAGUUGCUCCAUUAUGUAUCAAGGAUCCUCGAGACUACUUUGACACACAACAAGCUAAUGCUCUUAGAACUUUGGAUGAGUCACGUACUGGGACUGAGCAAACAAAACGCAAGCUGACUACUGAGGAAGCAUAUGGUUCCUUAAAGGAGUCAAUAUCUAAAAUUAAGAGCUUUGGAUUGAGCAAUUCAACGGUUAAACCAGAAGUUGCUCUUAUGGUAAUACAUUCUUUGUUUUAAGGGCUCACCCAGAAUAUUUCAAGUACCAAAUAUCAACUUGGGAAGAAUCCUCGUGAGAGUAUUCUGGAUGGGUUGCCAAACAGAACUAAAGAGGAACUCUUACAUCAUUGGACGUCUAUUCAAGAACUACUGAGGCAUUUUUGGUCUUCCUAUCCAAUUACAACUUCUUCUUUGUAUGUUAAGAUAGGAAGACUGAAGGAUGCCAUGUCACAAAUUUAUCGACAGCUAGAGGAGAUUAAGGAAGCUGUGCAGUCAGACUUCAGGCAUCAGGUCUCCCUCCUUGUUCGUCCAAUGCAUCAGGCUCUAGAUGCUGCUUUUCAGCAUUAUGAAGCAGACUUGCAGAAAAGAGCUGCAAAGAGUGGAGAGUUGCCAAACGGGAAUGGGUAGAAGUUUUCCCCUCAUUUGCGGCUCUAUUAUUAUAUGCUUCUGUCUAAAUUUUGACAUGAGAACUUGAGAAGUACCAUCCGACAUUAUUUUGCUAUGAGCUUAUGCAGUUUGACAAGGGUUUUUGGGGUGCAAAUUACAUCUACUGUGCACAAGUUGUGCAUAGAAUCGUUUAGCAAUAAUCAUGAUUGUACAUUUCUACUUGAGGCUCUUCAAGUGGCAGUGACUUCGUCUUAACAUAAAUUACAGAAAUUUACCUAUAUAGUAAAGUAGGUGCAGCCCGUUAUUGUUCAUAAGCCCCUCCGGAAAUGACGAUUCUAUCAUCACUUACGUCAUAAUUACAGUCUUACCGUCA